AGCCUGAUCCAGCAAUGCCGCGUGAGUGAUGAAGGCCCUAGGGUUGUAAAGCUCUUUUACCCGGGAUGAUAAUGACAGUACCGGGAGAAUAAGCUCCGGCUAACUUCGUGCCAGCACCGCGGUAAUA
rnacentral:rRNA from 1 species